rnacentral:lncRNA from 1 species
CUCCUGCCUCCACUCAGCUGCUUCUCAGUCAUGAACGUGGCCAUGGCCCCGGGGGUCCCCUUGCUGCUGUGGGCUCCCUGUCCCUGGGCAGGAGUGCUGGUGAGGAGGUGGAGCCUUUUGAGGGGGGCCUUCCCUCAGCUGUUUCCCCACACUGGGGGGCUGGGCCCUGCCUCCCCGUUACCCUCCUUCCCUGCAGGCCUGGAGCCUGUAGGGCUGGACUGAGGUUCAGGUCUCCCCCCAGCUGUCUCACCCCCACUUUGUCCCCACUCUAGAGCAGGGAGGCAGUGGGGGAGGAGUUGUGUCU